rnacentral:rRNA from 1 species
GACGAACGCUGGCGGCGUGCUUAACACAUGCAAGUCGAACGGAAAGGCCCUGCUUUUGUGGGGUGCCCGAGUGGCGAACGGGUGAGUAACACGUGAGUAACCUGCCCUUGACUUUGGGAUAACUUCAGGAAACUGGGGCUAAUACCGGAUAGGAGCUCCUGCUGCAUGGUGGGGGUUGGAAAGUUUCGGCGGUUGGGGAUGGACUCGCGGCUUAUCAGCUUGUUGGUGGGGUAGUGGCUUACCAAGGCUUUGACGGGUAGCCGGCCUGAGAGGGUGACCGGCCACAUUGGGACUGAGAUACGGCCCAGACUCCUACGGGAGGCAGCAGUGGGGAAUAUUGCGCAAUGGGCGGAAGCCUGAUGCAGCAACGCCGCGUGCGGGAUGACGGCCUUCGGGUUGUAAACCGCUUUCGCCGGUGACGAAGCGUGAGUGACGGUAAUGGGUAAAGAAGCACCGGCUAACUACGUG